UAUAAUCAGCCCCGUUUGGGUACCUUGCCCCACGCUCGUGGGGCGGGUGAAACGGGAAGCCGGUGCCUCUGAAUCUUCAGAUAUUCCGGCGCAGCCCCCGCUGCUGUAAGCCUGACGACUCCGCAAUACGCCACUGUGCUUGACGCAUGGGAAGGUGCUGGAGAAGAUUGACGGCAAGCCAGAAGACCGGCCCAAAGCAAACGUAGUGC
rnacentral:ncRNA from 2 species